GGCCUUACUGCAAUGGCGGUCUUAUGAAUGAGUCAGAUCCGGAAGGAAGCAGCUAUAAGUAGGAGUCGCCAUGUGCUGUAAGUUAAUU
rfam:Jeotgalibaca dankookensis strain EX-07, complete genome.